UACGUAGGGUGCAAGCGUUGUCCGGAAUUAUUGGGCGUAAAGAGCUCGUAGGCGGUUCGUCGCGUCGGCUGUGAAAUCCCGGAGCUCAACUCCGGGUCUGCAGUCGAUACGGGCGGACUUGAGUACUGCAGGGGAGACUGGAAUUCCUGGUGUAGCGGUGAAAUGCGCAGAUAUCAGGAGGAACACCGGUGGCGAAGGCGGGUCUCUGGGCAGUAACUGACGCUGAGGAGCGAAAGCGUGGGGAGCGAACAGG
rnacentral:rRNA from 1 species